rnacentral:ncRNA from 2 species
GGUCAUGAGUGCCAGCGUCUCAGCCCCGGCUCGCUGGCCGGCAACCCUCCUCCGCGGUGGGGUGCCCCGGGUGACGACCUGGUCGCGCACCGCUCGGUGCCGGCAAGCGCGGGCC